AUUGAACGCUGGCGGCAUGCUUUACACAUGCAAGUCGAACGGUAACAGGCCACAAGGUGCUGACGAGUGGCGAACGGGUGAGUAAUGCAUCGGAACGUGCCCAGUCGUGGGGGAUAACGCAGCGAAAGCUGUGCUAAUACCGCAUACGAUCUGUGGAUGAAAGCGGGGGACCGAAAGGCCUCGCGCGAUUGGAGCGGCCGAUGUCAGAUUAGGUAGUUGGUGGGGUAAAGGCUCACCAAGCCAACGAUCUGUAGCUGGUCUGAGAGGACGACCAGCCACACUGGGACUGAGACACGGCCCAGACUCCUAUGGGAGGCAGCAGUGGGGAAUUUUGGACAAUGGGCGCAAGCCUGAUCCAGCAAUGCCGCGUGCAGGAAGAAGGCCUUCGGGUUGUAAACUGCUUUUGUACGGAGCGAAAAGGCUCUCUCUAAUACAGGGGGCUCAUGACGGUACCGUAAGAAUAAGCACCGGCUAACUACGUGCCAGCCGCCGCAGUAAAAC
rnacentral:rRNA from 1 species